CCUGACUGACCGAUAGUGAACCAGUACCGUGAGGGAAAGGCGAAAAGAACCCCGGCGAGGGGAGUGAAAAAGAACCUGAAACCGUGUACGUACAAGCAGUGGGAGCCUCUUAAUGGGGUGACUGCGUACCUUUUGUAUAAUGGGUCAGCGACUUAUAUUCUGUAGCAAGGUUAACCGAAUAGGGGAGCCGAAGGGAAACCGAGUCUUAACUGGGCGUUAAGUUGCAGGGUAUAGACCCGAAACCCGGUGAUCUAGCCAUGGGCAGGUUGAAGGUUGGGUAACACUAACUGGAGGACCGAACCGACUAAUGUUGAAAAAUUAGCGGAUGACUUGUGGCUGGGGGUGAAAGGCCAAUCAAACCGGGAGAUAGCUGGUUCUCCCCGAAAGCUAUUUAGGUAGCGCCUCGUGAAUUCAUCUCCGGGGGUAGAGCACUGUUUCGGCAAGGGGGUCAUCCCGACUUACCAACCCGAUGCAAACUGCGAAUACCGGAGAAUGUUAUCACGGGAGACACACGGCGGGUGCUAACGUCCGUCGUGAAGAGGGAAACAACCCAGACCGCCAGCUAAGGUCCCAAAGUCAUGGUUAAGUGGGAAACGAUGUGGGAAGGCCCAGACAGCCAGGAUGUUGGCUUAGAAGCAGCCAUCAUUUAAAGAAAGCGUAAUAGCUCACUGGUCGAGUCGGCCUGCGCGGAAGAUGUAACGGGGCUAAACCAUGCACCGAAGCUGCGGCAGCGACACUAUGUGUUGUUGGGUAGGGGAGCGUUCUGUAAGCCUGUGAAGGUGUACUGUGAGGUAUGCUGGAGGUAUCAGAAGUGCGAAUGCUGACAUAAGUAACGAUAAAGCGGGUGAAAAGCCCGCUCGCCGGAAGACCAAGGGUUCCUGUCCAACGUUAAUCGGGGCAGGGUGAGUCGACCCCUAAGGCGAGGCCGAAAGGCGUAGUCGAUGGGAAACAGGUUAAUAUUCCUGUACUUGGUGUUACUGCGAAGGGGGGACGGAGAAGGCUAUGUUGGCCGGGCGACGGUUGUCCCGGUUUAAGCGUGUAGGCUGGUUUUCCAGGCAAAUCCGGAAAAUCAAGGCUGAGGCGUGAUGACGAGGCACUACGGUGCUGAAGCGACAAAUGCCCUGCUUCCAGGAAAAGCCUCUAAGCAUCAGGUAACAUCAAAUCGUACCCCAAACCGACACAGGUGGUCAGGUAGAGAAUACCAAGGCGCUUGAGAGAACUCGGGUGAAGGAACUAGGCAAAAUGGUGCCGUAACUUCGGGAGAAGGCACGCUGAUAUGUAGGUGAAGCGACUUGCUCGUGGAGCUGAAAUCAGUCGAAGAUACCAGCUGGCUGCAACUGUUUAUUAAAAACACAGCACUGUGCAAACACGAAAGUGGACGUAUACGGUGUGACGCCUGCCCGGUGCCGGAAGGUUAAUUGAUGGGGUUAGCGGUAACGCGAAGCUCUUGAUCGAAGCCCCGGUAAACGGCGGCCGUAACUAUAACGGUCCUAAGGUAGCGAAAUUCCUUGUCGGGUAAGUUCCGACCUGCACGAAUGGCGUAAUGAUGGCCAGGCUGUCUCCACCCGAGACUCAGUGAAAUUGAACUCGCUGUGAAGAUGCAGUGUACCCGCGGCAAGACGGAAAGACCCCGUGAACCUUUACUAUAGCUUGACACUGAACAUUGAGCCUUGAUGUGUAGGAUAGGUGGGAGGCUUUGAAGUGUGGACGCCAGUCUGCAUGGAGCCGACCUUGAAAUACCACCCUUUAAUGUUUGAUGUUCUAACGUGGGCCCCUUACCGGGGUUGCGGACAGUGUCUGGUGGGUAGUUUGACUGGGGCGGUCUCCUCCUAAAGAGUAACGGAGGAGCACGAAGGUUGGCUAAUCCUGGUCGGACAUCAGGAGGUUAGUGCAAUGGCAUAAGCCAGCUUGACUGCGAGCGUGACGGCGCGAGCAGGUGCGAAAGCAGGUCAUAGUGAUCCGGUGGUUCUGAAUGGAAGGGCCAUCGCUCAACGGAUAAAAGGUACUCCGGGGAUAACAGGCUGAUACCGCCCAAGAGUUCAUAUCGACGGCGGUGUUUGGCACCUCGAUGUCGGCUCAUCACAUCCUGGGGCUGAAGUAGGUCCCAAGGGUAUGGCUGUUCGCCAUUUAAAGUGGUACGCGAGCUGGGUUUAGAACGUCGUGAGACAGUUCGGUCCCUAUCUGCCGUGGGCGCUGGAGAACUGAGGGGGGCUGCUCCUAGUACGAGAGGACCGGAGUGGACGCAUCACUGGUGUUCGGGUUGUCAUGCCAAUGGCACUGCCCGGUAGCUAAAUGCGGAAGAGAUAAGUGCUGAAAGCAUCUAAGCACGAAACUUGCCCCGAGAUGAGUUCUCCCUGACUCCUUGAGAGUCCUGAAGGAACGUUGAAGACGACGACGUUGAUAGGCCGGGUGUGUAAGCGCAGCGAUGCGUUGAGCUAACCGGUACUAAUGAACCGUGAGGCUUAACCUUACAACGCCGAAG
rnacentral:rRNA from 1 species